CCUACGGGAGGCAGCAGUGGGGAAUAUUGGGCAAUGGAGGCAACUCUUACCCAGCAAUGUCGCGUGAAUGAAGAAGGUCUUCGGAUUGGAAAGCUCUUUUUUUGGGGACGAAAAAAAUGACGGUACUCAAGGAAUAAGCCUAGGCUAACUACGUGCCAGCAGACGCGGUAAUCCGUAGGGUGCAAGCAUUGGUCGGAAUUACUGGGCGUCAAGGGUGUGUAGGUGGUGUAGCAAGUUAGAAGGGAAAUCCCUUGAGCUUAACUCAGGUGCGGCCUCUAAACCUGCUAUACUUGAGUGCAUUAGAGGAAGGUGGAAUUCCUGGUGUAGCAGUGGAAUGCGUAGAUAUUAGGAGGAACAUCAAUGGCGAAGGCGACUUUCUGGACUUUAACUGACGCUGAGGCACGAAAGUGUGGGGAGCAAACAGGAUUAGAUACCCCUGUAGUC
rnacentral:rRNA from 1 species